rnacentral:tRNA from 1 species
GCCGGUGUGGCUCAGUGGAUAGAGUGUCAGCCUGCGGACUGAGGGUGCCAGGUUUGAUUCUGGUCAAAGGCA